UGGGGAAUAUUGGACAAUGGGCGAAAGCCUGAUCCAGCAACGCCGCGUGAAGGAUGAAGUAUUUCGGUAUGUAAACUUCGAAAGAAUAGGAAGAAUAAAUGACGGUACUAUUUAUAAGGUCCGGCUAACUACGUGCCAGCAGCCGCGGUAAUACGUAGGGACCAAGCGUUGUUCGGAUUUACUGGGCGUAAAGGGCGCGUAGGCGGCAUGACAAGUCACUUGUGAAAUCUCUGGGCUUAACCCAGAACGGCCAAGUGAUACUGUCGCGCUAGAGUGCAGAAGGGGCAAUCGGAAUUCUUGGUGUAGCGGUGAAAUGCGUAGAUAUCAAGAGGAACACCUGAGGUGAAGACGGGUUGCUGGGCUGACACUGACGCUGAGGCGCGAAAGCCAGGGGAGCAAACGGGAUUAGAUACCCCAGUAGUCCCUGAGCGGGCUGGCAAGGCGCAU
rnacentral:rRNA from 1 species